CAAGUGUAACAUCAGAGGUCGUGGAGAGUCUCCAUCCAGCUGGAUCUCUGUCACAGAGAAACCCACCAUCAGACCUCCUCGAUCAUCUUCCACUGCAGGCGUCUUCUCCUCCUCUUCCUCUCCUCCUCUCUCCUCCCCUCCUCCUCACUUACUGCUGCCGUCUGUCCUGUCCGUCUGUGGUCUGGUGCUACUGGUGCUACUGGUUGUACUGGUGCUACUGGUGAGACGAUGUGUCGGCAGGAAACCUGAAGAGAGCGAACCAGCUCCAGUUUACUCAGCAGUGAGAAGAAGAGAAGACGUCAGUCAUGAAGCAAACAGGACGAGAGAGAGUGAUCCACCUGCAAUUUAUGCAGCAGUGAAAAAAACUAAUGACGUCAGUUAUGGACAAAUAUCCAUCAGAGGGAGCAGGACGAGAGAGUUUCCAGCAGAGCCAGAGGCCAUCUACUCUUCACUGAGGCCGAGCUUCACACCUUCAAACCAGUCCAACCACUGACGUCCAGCUGCUGGUUUACUGCUCACUAACUGGUCCUCAGACCUCUGCAUGUACAUGAUUUAUUUAAUGAUAUGUUGUGUGUGUCUACAGUCCUGCAGCUGCACACAGACAACUUGUUUUAA